CAGCCGCCGCGGUAAUACGUAGGGUGCGAGCGUUAAUCGGAUUUACUGGGCGUAAAGUGUGCGCAGGCGGCCCGUUAAGACAGGUGUGAAAUCCCUGGGCUCAACCUAGGAAUUGCGCUUGUGACUGGCGGGCUCGAGUACGGUAGAGGGGGGUGGAAUUCCUGGUGUAGCAGUGAAAUGCGUAGAGAUCAGGAGGAACACCGAUGGCGAAGGCAGCCCCCUGGGCCUGUACUGACGCUCAUGCACGAAAGCGUGGGGAGCAAACAGGAUUAGAUACCCUGGUAGUCCACGCCCUAAACGAUGGGUACUAGCCGUUUGGUGCGCGAUAGCGCUGAGUGGCGAAGCUAACGCGUGAAGUACCCCGCCUGGGGAGUACGGCCGCAAGGUUGAAACUUAAAGGAAUUGGCGGG
rnacentral:rRNA from 1 species